rnacentral:rRNA from 1 species
UUACUCAGUUCAGAUUGCAGGCUGCAACCCGCCUGCAUGAAGUCGGAAUUGCUAGUAAUCGCGGAUCAGCAUGCCGCGGUGAAUACGUUCCCGGGCCUUGUACACGCCGCCCGUCACACCAUGGGAGCCGGUAAUACCCGAAGUCAGUAGUCCAACCUCGUGAGGACGCUGCCGAAGGUAGGAUUGGCGACUGGGGUGAAGUCGUAACAAGGUAAC